rnacentral:rRNA from 1 species
UUCUAUUAGAAAUUAUUAAUAGUAUAAUCUGCUCAAUGAAAUUUAAAUAGCCGCAGAAUCUGUGCUAAGGUAGCAUAAUCAUUUGUCUUUUAAAUAAAGACUAGAAUAAAAGAUUAAACAAUUCAAUUAAUUUCUAAAAUUUAAUAAUUCAAAAUUAUCUUAAAUGUAAAAAGACAUUUAUUAAAAAGAAAGACGACAAGACCCUAUAGAACUUCACUAUAGUUGUACUGGGGAAGUAAAUUAAUUAUUAUUUUAAUUAAAAUACUAUUAUAAUAUAAUCCAAUAAUAUUGAAUAUUAUUAAGUUACCUUAGGGAUAACAGCGUUAUUUUUAUUUUAAGCUCUUAUAAAAAUAAAAGUUUGCGACCUCGAUGUUGAAUAAUAACCUAAUUUUAAACGCAAUAGUUAAUAAAGGAAGUCUGUUCGACUUAUAAAUAAUUACA